rnacentral:rRNA from 1 species
UUACAAAAACAUUUCCUCCUGGUUUAGGAGGUAAGGCCUGCUCACUGAAUAUUUAAAGAGCCGCAGUAUCCUAACUGUGCUAAGGUAGCAUAAUCAUUUGUCUUUUAAUUGGAGACUGGUAUGAAUGGCUAAACGAGAAAUUAACUUUUUUUGUUAUAUAAAUUGAACUUAAUUUUUCAGUGAAAAAGCUGAAAUUUUUCAGAAAGACGAGAAGACCCUAUAGAGUUUUAUGUCUCUAAAUAUAUUAUCUAAUUUGAUUUUUAUAGAUUUCAUAUUAAAGGACAUUUUGUUGGGGCGACAUUAAGAUAUAAAAAACUCUUUAUUUUCAAAAUUUUUAUAAAAAUUUUGCUUGAUCCUCUAAAAGAGAUCAAAAGAAAAAAUUACCUUAGGGAUAACAGCGUAAUCUUUUUUGAGAGUUCUAAUCGACAAAAAGGUUUGCGACCUCGAUGUUGGACUAAAAUUUAGGCAGGGUGCAGCAGUUCUGCUUUUAGGUCUGUUCGACCUAUAAUAUUUUACAUGAUCUGAG